rnacentral:rRNA from 1 species
UGGGGAAUAUUGGACAAUGGGGGGAACCCGUGAUCCAGCCAUGCCGCGUGUGUGAAGAAGGCCUUAUGGUUGUAAAGCACUUUAAGCGAGGAGGAGGCUCUUUUGGUUAAUACCCAAGAUGAGUGGACGUUACUCGCAGAAUAAGCACCGGCUAACUCUGUGCCAGCAGCCGCGGUAAUACAGAGGGUGCGAGCGUUAAUCGGAUUUACUGGGCGUAAAGCGUGCGUAGGCGGCUUUUUAAGUCGGAUGUGAAAUCCCCGAGCUUAACUUGGGAAUUGCAUUCGAUACUGGGAAGCUAGAGUAUGGGAGAGGAUGGUAGAAUUCCAGGUGUAGCGGUGAAAUGCGUAGAGAUCUUGGAGGAAUACCGAUGGCGAAGGCAGCCAUCUGGCCUAAUACUGACGCUGAGGUACGAAAGCAUGGGGGAGCAAACA